rnacentral:rRNA from 1 species
AUAGGUUAAGUUAAUAAGGGCGCAUGGUGGAUGCCUUGGCACUAGAAGGCGAUGAAGGACGUGACUAACUACGAUAUGCCUCGGUUAGCUGUAAGUAAGCUUACCCGGGGGUUUCCGAAUGGGGCAACCCGAUCUUAAUGAUCAUCAUCUUUUUGAAUUCAUAGAUUAGAUGAAGCAAACGCUGUGAACUGAAACAUCUCAGUAGCAGUAGGAAAGUAAAGAAAUUUCGAUUCCGUCAGUAGCGGCGAGCGAACGCGGAAGAGCCCAAACCUGGAUGCUUGCAUCCAGGGGUUGUAGGACUGAUGUUGAGUUACAAAGGUAUAAGAUAGCAGAAACAGUUGGGAAGCUGUUCCAAAGAGGGUGACAGGCCCGUAUGCGAAAUCUUGUACUCUCUAAUCAGGAUCCUGAGUACGGC